AUUGUUUCUCGUCAGAAAAACGAAGCGACGAUUGUUCUUUUUUUUUUUUUUUUUCAACCGUUUUCUCAUUUUUCUCGUUUUUGUUUUUGUUUUUGUUUUUUUUUUUUUACUGUCGCAUUAGAAUAAUAAUACACAACAACAGAAAGAAAUAAACAUUAACGGCACAUUCCGCGACCGGGGAAUUGUUUCGGUCGGUUUUAUUAUUUUUAUUAUAAUAUUCAUUUUUCUAAUUUUUUUUUUUUUUUUUCUGCUUAUCUUUUCCGUUUUCAUUUUCGGUCCGGUUCGUUUGAGCCGCGCGGGGACAAUCAAAUAGAGCGGCCGGGCGCCACGACCGCGGCGUUAUUAUCGUC